CGAAUCUGCCCUUGAGAGGGAAACAACCGGCCGAAAGGCUGGCUAAUGUCCCAUAAGACCACAGGAUGGCAUCAUCCAGGGGUCAAAGCUCCGCAAGGGGCGCUUGAGGAGGAGCCCGAGUCCUAUCAGCUAGUUGGUGAGGUAACGGCUCACCAAGGCUUUGACGGGUAGCCGGCCUGAAAGGGUGAUCGGCCACACUGGCACUGAGACACGGGCCAG
rnacentral:rRNA from 1 species